GAAAAAUAUAGCUAUACAAAAUUAAUACCUAAUAAUCUGAGAUUCCUACAAUCAUGGGUUCCAACAAGAAAUGUUGUAGUGAGUCAAUAGGCCAUUAGAGUUGCUGAACUAGAAGAAUAGAUCAAGAAUCUCUAAGGAGAAACAUAGUAGAAAGUUUGUGGUGUUUUAGUGUGGAGAACUCUGUUAAAAAUUUCAUGCAAGGAAGCUCAGAACUAAAAAGGAUUUGAGUCCUAGCAGUGUCAAAUUAUGAAGGUAAGCCAGCAAGAAACUCAUGACUGCCAUUUGUUCACAUUGGGAUUGUUGAA
rnacentral:misc_RNA from 1 species